AAAUGAAUUGACGGGGACCCGCACAAGCGGUGGAGCAUGUGGAUUAAUUCGACGCAACGCGAAGAACCUUACCUGCUCUUGACAUCCCUCUGACCGGACAGUAAUGUGUCCUUUCCUUCGGGACAGAGGAGACAGGUGGUGCAUGGUUGUCGUCAGCUCGUGUCGUGAGAUGUUGGGUUAAGUCCCGCAACGAGCGCAACCCUUAUCCUUAGUAGCCAGCGGUUCGGCCGGGCACUCUAGGGAGACUGCCGGGGUUAACCCGGAGGAAGGUGGGGAUGACGUCAAAUCAUCAUGCCCCUUAUGAGCAGGGCUUCACACGUGCUACAAUGACGACUACAAAGAGAAGCGAGUCUGUGAGGAGGAGCGAAUCCCAAAAAAGUCGUCUCAGUUCGGAUUGUAGUCUGCAACUCGACUACAUGAAGCUGGAAUCGCUAGUAAUCGCGAAUCAGAAUGUCGCGGUGAAUACGUUCCCGGGUCUUGUACACACCGCCCGU
rnacentral:rRNA from 1 species